GGCGCUCGCUCCCUCGUGCCCUCGAUGCACUUGCCCACCGCCGCUCUCCUCUGCCCCAACCCCAAUCCCGCCGCCGCCUCAAUCCCACCGCCGCCGGCCUCCUCCUCCUCUAGCGCCUCCGCUCCAGCCCCUCACCUUCUCAUCCUGGAUCCGCACGACAAGGUGUGGGGCUAUGGGAGAGAAGGCUCCAUAUCGCGCGACAAGGUGAGGGGGCGCCCAGAUCCGCAGCGGCACCACCGCGCCCUCGUCCACCUGGCCCUCGAGGUCGGCCAUGGAGGUCCGGCCCGACCAAUGGAUGGAUGGGGAUGAAACCCUAGCCCAACACCCACCCAUGGAUGGAUGGGGAUGGGGCGACGACGGCGGCGGCGGCGGCGGCCUUCUCUCGGUGCUUGCUGAUGUGGUGGACAUCGACGUCGGUGACGGGUUGCAGCACGUAGACAUCAAAGGCUGCGGGUGUGACGGAGGAGCACCAUGGCGGGCGUGCAGACCAUGGCUCGCUAUGGAAGGCCCUUCCCUUCCCUCUCUCUGUUCGGGCCAUGCUCAGGCAGUCUUUUCUCUUCUCUUCCCGCAAAAAAAGUCUUUUCUCUUCAUGAUCUGAACAUGUUGGAGGCCAUUAUUUCUCCACUGCCGGAGUCUAGCCUCCCUCCGUGGGAUGCCAUGGAGAUGAAACUCCCCUCGACGAAAGAAUUCAAGGGCAUGUGGGAGAGAGAGGAGGUCCAUGGAGAAGAAGCUCUGCUCCAACCCUCCCUGCCUCCUAAUACAAGAUGUCUUUUUUUGUGUGUGCUUGUAUUGCAGCAGCCAUGUGCGUAUCAAAAAAAGGGUCCAGUUUGCAGCAGUCACAUGAUAUGGACAUGUUUUUUCAUCACAAUUGGAUUUUUGGAUUUACUAGGCUAAUUGGUGGUGGUUGCUGCUGUUGUUGUUGUUUUAGCAGCAGCAGCAGCAGGCGGAGUGACGAUGUUGGCUAUGUGCAGGCCAUGGAGGCUUUGAUGAGCACGAGGGGAAGGCCGCUGCUUCAACCCCGUUAAGCUUACGUGUGGGAUUUGCUUCGGAAGUUGUCCACGUGAGUCAAUGGGUGCUGCUUCAUGUGGGCAUCCUUUCUGUGGUGUAUGUUGGAGAGGUUACACACCUGAUGAUGUUUACGGCUAGGCACAGGAACAAGCAGAGGCCGAGGAAGUGCGGGCACGCGCAGCUGGCCUUGGCAGGUGUAGGAACCGUGCGAGGAAGGUUCAGCGCGCUGCACAAGUCGGGCCACGCCCGGAGCGCCGUACCAACGCAUGUGUGCGUGGUCGGUGGGUUAGCCAAGAUCUGCAUUCUGCGACUUUAUCUUCACCAUGGACACAAGCAAGGACUGAUUGGUGGUUCUUGGUAGCGGUGCCGAGCAUCGGCGGAUCGAAGUGGUCGAGGUCGCGGUUAAUCCACCAGGACGAGACAUGCAUCUUGGAGCUAGCGCAGAGGGGGGAAGAAGCAGGUUGGUAUGGCCCGUGACAAGACAACUGCUGACACAGAGUUCUACCUCUCUGACUGAAAUAGGAACUUUUGCGCAAAGAAAACACACAGGGCAGGAACAUGACUACUCUUCCCGUUCCAAGUUUUUGAUCGAUCGAACUCUUCGGUGACCAGAAAAUGAGAAAAAGGCAGGCCGUCGAUGUACAAACCACAGGUGCUCGGACGCACGGCCGGCAUCAUGGUCGUCAUAACUCAUAACCCAUGAGGUGGUGACCAAGCAAGAAAGGAAGGAACUUUCGCGCAAAGAAAACACACACAGGGCAGGAACAUGACUACUCUCGCCCUUCCAUGUUUCUGAUCGAUCGAACUCUUCGGUGACCAAAAAAUGAGAAAAGGGCAGGUCGUCGAUGUACAGACCACAGGCGCUCGGACGCACGGCCGGCAUCAUGGUCGUCAUAGCUCAUAACCCAUGAGGGGGUGACGAAGCAAGAAGGAAGAACUCCCGGGCGACGAGCCCAAUGGCCUUGUACUUCGCCCGGACAAGCACCAUUGGGCCGACGUUGCAGCCAGCGGCUGCGGCCAUGCAUUCGGAAAUUCCAUGGCAUGAUGCAUAUAAAUUGGAUCUGUAGGUGGGUUCAGAAGAUGAUUUUUUUCUAUGCUUCUCCUAUGAUUCAUGAAGCUCCAAGCGAGCAAGAAGUUUCAGUCCACCUUUACUCAUGGCCUCCCCUUCUCGUCUGUGGACGGCCUUGGCAAUCUGAACAAGCUUUACGCGACUGGCACUCUUGUUGAUCCCAUAUGAGUCAUUAAGCCGUUUUGUGCGCAAGGUUGAGAUAGUUGGGGCCUGUAACUGUGUUUUGAUCCCAUGAAUGUCAUUUUGCACCGAAGGUUUGUAACCAUUGGGGAAUGUUUUCUUGCUCUGAUGUAUCAAGUUGCCAUGGGGGUGAUCUAGAGGUCUCUUCCUUGUCCAAAGUAUGUCAUACCUAAUCAAGACAUGUUCAUUUAAUUUACCCGUCAUGUAAAUGACACAACAUGAUUCACUUGUGUAUAGUGUAAAAAUAUAUUUAUUUAUGGUACACAGGUGUUCAAAUUAUAGUUGUGAAACGUGUAUAGUGUAAAAAUAUAAUUAUUAAGGGAUGUGACGUCACAGUGGUCG